rnacentral:rRNA from 1 species
GUCUUUGUCACCCUGAACAAACCUGAUCUCACCUGAUCUAGGAAGCUAAGUGGGUACUAACCAGGCGUGGUUAGUACUUGGAUGGGAGACAACCUAGGAAGACCAGGUGCUGUAGGCA